rnacentral:rRNA from 1 species
CCUACGGGAGGCAGCAGUGGGGAAUCUUGCGCAAUGGGCGAAAGCCUGACGCAGCCAUGCCGCGUGAAUGAUGAAGGUCUUAGGAUUGUAAAAUUCUUUCACCGGGGACGAUAAUGACGGUACCCGGAGAAGAAGCCCCGGCUAACUUCGUGCCAGCAGCCGCGGUAAUACGAAGGGGGCUAGCGUUGCUCGGAAUUACUGGGCGUAAAGGGAGCGUAGGCGGAUAGUUUAGUCAGAGGUGAAAGCCCAGGGCUCAACCUUGGAAUUGCCUUUGAUACUGGCUAUCUUGAGUGUGGGAGAGGUAUGUGGAACUCCGAGUGUAGAGGUGAAAUUCGUAGAUAUUCGGAAGAACACCAGUGGCGAAGGCGACAUACUGGCCCAUUACUGACGCUGAGGCUCGAAAGCGUGGGGAGCAAACAGGAUUAGAUACCCUGGUAGUCCACGCUGUAAACGAUGAGUGCUAGUUGUCGGCAUGCAUGCAUGUCGGUGACGCAGCUAACGCAUUAAGCACUCCGCCUGGGGAGUACGGUCGCAAGAUUAAAACUUCAAAGGAAUUGACGG